AAGGAUAUAUUCGGAACAUCUCGUAGAGAUGAGGRAUAACGUGACAUAUUGUAUUCAGUUUUGAAUGUUUAUUUUAAACAUUCWAYAACUAAAUGAAAAUUGCAUUCAAAAUUAUAUUUUGAUAUACUAUUUUGAUGUGAUUGUUUGUUURUUGAUUGUACAUUGAAAACUAGAUAAGUAAGUAAAAAUAGAUUUUACCAAGCAAAACCGAGUGAAUAAGAGUUUUAAAAAAGCUUGAAUUCAUAAAAUAUAAUCGCUAGUGUUCGAAAGAACACUCACAAGAUUAAUAACAGGUUUCUUAAAAUUAGAACUACGUUCUAAUAUGGUDGAAACAUA
rnacentral:misc_RNA from 1 species